CUCAACAGCAAUAAAAAAUUUAAGUUCCACUUUUAACGAUGAAGUGGUUUGGCACCUUUAGAAAGACUUACAAAUGCUUAUUUUUGAUACUUACUUUCAAAUGUUGCGAAAUACCUCCGUAUUAGGUGCUUUUACCUUAUAUACUGUAUUAUUU